AUGAGAUCAUAACUUUUAAGAACAGUAAAUAUAUCCACGCACAAGAUUGAUGUAAGCCUAUAUACAUAGUCAUCAGUCAUCGGAGUCAGUUCGGUUGAGUGAUGUUAUUGUAAUCAAUGGUGGAUCUACUCAUAUUGAUCAUGUUGAAUCGUCGAUCAUGAAACGACAAAGAUUGAAUUGGUUUGUAAGUGAAGAAACAGUGAAGUGAAUAAAUGAUUAUCAGGUAGCAAACUCUAAACAUUUUUAGGACAAUGAUACAAUCAUAUUGAGAAUGUUGUCGAUGAAAACGAAAAUUCCUAUGCAAAACGAUCGUUAGGUUAAUUCUUAUUUCAAAAAAAUCUGCAUCGAAAAAAUCGAGCAGAUAUGAGUAUUAACUAUCUAGUUAACGUUGACUUUGUGAAAAUAUUUUGAUAAUGGCAGUUUUACUUUCAUAUCAUCGACUCAUUGAAAAGGAUUCGAGGAGUGUCAAUUACUGUUGGAAAACUUCCAUACUAGUGAUAUUGCUUAUUGCGAUUUCAUCCAGCUUAGUAAUUACAUUCAGCAUGCAUUCACUGGAGAAUAGCUUCCAUCAGAACUGCUUCAUGGGAGCCUCUUUAAAUUUCAAAACAGUUAAAGGAUUAGUGCAAGAUACUCACACUUUUCAAGGGAGAGAUAUGAUCUACAAACUGAUACGGGAUACAUCAGAAGGCGAAAAAUACAUCAUCGACGAAUUUAAUAGUACAUGGAGUAAUCAAGACUUUUGUGAGUAUUUGGUAUUUACUCCAUUAUUCCACGCAAUGAUCAGUGUUAUUUGGCUGGCAAUAUAUGUUAUGCAUGGUCCUGGUGGAGAGGGCAUUGGAAGUAUCAUUUCUAAACCAUGGAGAAUCGUGUUUCCUUCAUUAAUAUUUUUCAUGGUGUGUGGAAUUUCGGCAUUCGUAUGUGCCACAUUGAGCAGUAACGCGUUAGCAAAAUUUUGCGAAGAAUUUAAAAAAGUUACUAUCGAUGGAGAAGUGAGUUGUGCUCAUAUGAUAACCUAUUUCUCACUACGCCACCACAGUGACUUGAUUCUACCAGAUAAAAACUACUACCUCGUAGCAACGUUUCCUUGGAUCUGGACUGGAAGCUUCUUGUGUGGUUUUCUUAUAAUGAUACUAAGAAUAAUGUUAGUUGCUGAUUUCCAGUUAAUAAGAGUAGUCGUUUCUUUAGUCGAAACCAAAUCCGAAACCGGCAGUGAGGAACAUGUUGUGGAAAUUCUAAAUGAGGUAGACUCUCAUGCUCAAAAUGCCGUAUUGAAUGUAUCCAAACCAGUGGUAGAUGUAAGAUAAGAAUAUUAUCCACCAAUAAGUAACAAAAUACAACGAAGAUUCCACAUCUUAUACAGGCUUUUUCUAAAAAGAAACACUUAAAAAUAUAUGCAUCCAAUUCUGAUAAAAUCAAAUACAAUACCUUCACCACAGACUAACAGACAUGACAGUAUGAGUAAAUUCUUAUAAAGAUAAUUUUUCGUGAUGCACUAGUUCCACCUAUAUUGUACUGCGCGAACUAUUUACUAUCUGUACACCCCUUGUGCUAUGUAAAAGUUUUUUUACUAGUUGGUUUCCCCUCGUUUGUCAAUUAGGUUUUUUAUCGUGACGACACAAAUGAACAAGUAUUCAUCCUUGACAGUUCAGCGGUACUGUUUACAAACAAGCUUAAACAAAAAUCGAAGAGCACAUCUAAAACAAUCAUCUUCACACUUUGCAACUAGUCACUUUUAUUUAAUAAAUAUCAAAAACGAACCGUAUUCAAUCGUGAACAAAUGUUUUAAAACUUUAUUUAGGCGAUGCGGACCGUAAAUAGUCUGAUCCAAUUUGUCAAUAAACAAACAAAAGAAAUUUCUGUUUACAAACAGUACUGCUGGACUGUCAAAAAGUGUUCAUCCGAUUGAGGUUAGCAGUGACGGUAAAAAACCUAAUACCGAUCAGCUGCUUGCAGGGAUGCCUGAUUUCAUCAAAAUAUUCGUCACAAUAAAUUAUUGGAUUACGUUGAUAAUAUAUUUAACUUUUUUAUCGAUAUUGGAAGGUAAACAUAAAUUUUUCUCAACGUUGUUUAUCUAGACUAUUUUUGAUUGUGUUGCUAAUUUUCACCCGAAAUUAAGUGGCGGCAGACCAGAAGCAAAUAAAUAUUGCAACAAAACGGGUUAGAUUUUGUAUUGAGUUGGAGGAUGAGAAGUAGGCACAAUUCUGUAUAUAGUUUUGGCAAUAUGUAUUAAAUUUGUAACCUGCAUGAAAUUCGCAUGGACGUAUACAAAUCAAUACAUUACAGGUAAUUCUGUAUGAAUGGCAACUCGGUUGGUAAAUGAAAAAAUAAACACAGUCUAGAUGACAGACAGGAUGUUUUUGAUAGGGUAACGUGGCGCCAUCAUGACACAUGUGAGUACUAUCCCAAAUAAAGGAAUAUUCGAAAUGACCGUUAAAAUGAUUGAAGAAUCUAAUUUGAGUGUCCUGUCUGUUAGUCUGCACGCUUACUUGUGGGUACUCAGUGGCUGAAUCAAAAGUACUCAUUUUCGAAAACUGUGACCAGCUGUCAAAAAAUGAGUAAAAUAUAAAACUUUCACUGAGUAGAAUUAGCUUCAUCCGACAUUUUCAUGUUUGAAAUUUUGAAGACUUAAAGUUGCUCAAAAUGGAAAAAAUCAGAGAUCUAGGGGACAGUGAGUCGUAUGAGGCUCUAGUUGGUAAGUAGAGCUAGCUUCUGCGAGGAUUUCUCUGUAUUUUUGCAAGUUUGUCUAAAAAGGGAUCAACAAAUCCGGAUCGGAGACCUGGAAUCACAGACUAACAGACAUGACAGUAUGAGUAAAUUCUUAUAAAAAAAAAUUUUCUUUAUGCACUAGCUCCACCUAUAUUGUACUGCGCGAACUAUUUACUAUUUGUACACCCCUUGUGUUAUGUAAAAGUUUUUUUUACUAGUUGGUUUCCCCUCGUUUGUCAACACCGAUCAGCUGCUUGCAGGGAUGCCUGAUUUCAUCAAAAUAUUUGAAAAUGAAUCGUCACAAUAAAUUAUUGGAUUACGUUGAUAAUAUAUUUAACUUUUUCGCGAUGUUGGAAGGUAACCAUUUAUUUGACUCAACGUUGUUCAUCUAGACUAUUUUUUAUUGUGAAAUUAAGUGGCGGCAGACCAGAAGCAAGUAAAUAAUGUAACAAAACGGGUUCGAUUUUGUCUUGCGUUGGAGGAUGAGAAGUAGGCACAAUUAUGUAUAUAGUUUUGGCAAUAUGUAUUAAAUCUGUAUCCUGCAUGAAAUUCGCAUGGACGUAUACAAAUCAAUACAUUAUAGGUAAUUCUGUAUGAAUGGUAACUCUGUUGGUAAAUGAAAAAAAUAAACACAGUCUAGAUGACAGACAGGAUGUUUUUGAUAGGGUAACGUGGCGCCAUCAUGACACAUGUGAGUACUGUCCCAAAUAAAGGAAUAUUCGAAAUGACCGUUAAAAUGAUUGAAGAAUCUAAUUUGAGUGUCCUGUCUGUUAGUCUGUGCUGGAAUUUUCCAGAGGAGCUACUAUUUUCUCCGGUCAUACAGUGGACUCAGGUAUUAAGACGAAAUUAUCAAUCCACUAGGCGCUAUUCAAUCAAUUACAUGAUUUUUCAGAACCUGACUGAUUACUUGGUAUCUGCAAAUAGAGUACCGCAUCUAGUUUGUGAUGCUGAAACGUUUAAAAUUGGAUCAUACUGUGUCAUUGUUGAUGGUGUUGUUGUGUUAAAAAACAGUUCAGAAAUGCUGUAGACAUAUAUUUUAAAACGUUCUCCGUCUUCGUCAUACAAAUUCCAACACUAGUGAAAAUUCUUCACGAUUGUAAUUUACAAAACGAAAAAAACAUAUAGCUCACAAAACGGUGCAUAAAAUUGCCGGAGUGCUUAAGCUCUACUUAUGUGAAAACAGAAAUUAUUUCAUAAAACUAAACAAUUUGAAGACAA